rnacentral:rRNA from 1 species
UGUUGCAGUUAAAAAGCUCGUAGUUGGAUUUCUGGCAGGAUGACUUCGCCCUCUGUUGAGUGCGCGAAGAUAUCUUACCAUCCUUCUGUUAAAGUUAGACUUCUUCACCGAAGUCUUUCCAGCUCAGAUAUUUUACCUUGAGAAAAUUAGAGUGUUUCAGGCAGGCUCGCGCCGGAAUACAUUAGCAUGGAAUAAUGGAAUAGGACUUUUACCUCUUCUGUUGGUCAUGGGGUUUGAGUAAUGGUUAAUAGGGAUAGUUGGGGGCAUUAGUACUUCACUGUCAGAGGUGAAAUUCUCGGAUUUGUGAAAGACUAACUUAUGCGAAAGCAUUUGCCAAGGAUGUUUUCAUUAAUCAAGAACGAAAGUUAGGGGAUCAAAGACGAUCAGAUACCGUCCUAGUCUUAACCAUAAACUAUGCCGACUCGGGAUUGG